rnacentral:tRNA from 1 species
AUAUAGCUCAGUGACACAAGCACUUGUCUGGCAAGCACAAGGUCCAGGUUCAAUUCCUGGUAU